rnacentral:rRNA from 1 species
AUUGAACGCUGGCGGCAUGCCUUACACAUGCAAGUCGAACGGUAACAGGUCUUCGGACGCUGACGAGUGGCGAACGGGUGAGUAAUACAUCGGAACGUGCCCAGUCGUGGGGGAUAACUACUCGAAAGAGUAGCUAAUACCGCAUACGAUCUGAGGAUGAAAGCGGGGGACCUUCGGGCCUCGCGCGAUUGGAGCGGCCGAUGGCAGAUUAGGUAGUUGGUGGGAUAAAAGCUUACCAAGCCGACGAUCUGUAGCUGGUCUGAGAGGACGACCAGCCACACUGGGACUGAGACACGGCCCAGACUCCUACGGGAGGCAGCAGUGGGGAAUUUUGGACAAUGGGCGAAAGCCUGAUCCGGCAAUGCCGCGUGCAGGACGAAGGCCUUCGGGUUGUAAAGCUCUUUCGGCCGGGACGAAAUCGCUCUCGCUAAUAUCGGGAGUGGAUGACGGUACCGGAAUAAGAAGCACCGGCUAACUACGUGCCAGCAGCCGCCGUAA